rnacentral:lncRNA from 1 species
AGAUUGUUGUUGUUGUUUUUUUUAAUUUUCUUUUCUUAUUUUACCUUUUUCAGACAUCUUCUGUAACCAGAAGCACUCCAAGAACAACACUUUCAUUCAUGGACUUAACAACUACAUUAGAUCAUACCAGCCUGUCACUUCAAAGUCACCAGUGUCAAGGAACAUUUCAAAUGGGCUUAAAGCAUUGUUUUGGAAGUGUGAAUAAUGAAGCCAAGGACAUUAGCAACAUCAUGAAAGCAGGGGAGAGCACAGAAGACAUUAAGCAGAUAGAGAAGCCUGGGAGGGCUUCAGCAAGAAGAAAGUGGAAAGGCACUGGAGGCUGGGCCCCAAGCUGGCAGUCAGUGUGUCUAAGGCACUGUUCAAGGUCCUCAUGACAGAUCCCAUCAGAGCCACAUGUGCCACAUCUCUGCUCACUGCCCGGUGCUAGCACAUCCCCAGAUGAGAGGAUGGGACAUUCCACAUGUUGCACACUUCAUGUGCACAUCGUUAUUUCCUGCUGUCACCUCUGUGGCUCUUUAUUCAUAUGAUGAAGCCCUGCCUCUCCAUCCUCCACCCGCUUCUACCCCUCCAUGCCACCUCCAACUUUCACUCCCAGGACUGCCUGUGUCAUCACCUGCAUGGAUUCUUUUCACUUCUCUGCCAGCUUCAAGGUGCUGCCUUGUAAGGUUAUUCAAAUGCUCAUUCUACAUUGAAAUCAGCAUGGAAUGUGUAAUAACAGGAAAGAGAAAUAUACAGACUCUCUGUGCUUGGCAUGGCAAUGUGUCACGUGGCUUGAAAAGGCGUCAAGUGAAUAGAGAAGAUUCUAUGGAUGUAGAAGAGGUCCCUGGGUUUCCGAAUUGCCACUGGAUUGCCUCUAUCAAAUACGCAAGAGUUUCAUGA